CCUACGGGUGGCUGCAGUAAGGAAUAUUGGUCAAUGGACGAAAGUCUGAACCAGCCAUCCCGCGUGCAGGAUGAAAGCCCUAUGGGUUGUAAACUGCUUUUAGCAGAGAAGAAAAGCUUUCAUUAAUGAGAGUCUGACGGUAUCUGCAGAAUAAGCACCGGCUAACUCCGUGCCAGCAGCCGCGGUAAUACGGAGGGUGCGAGCGUUAUCCGGAAUUACUGGGUUUAAAGGGUGCGUAGGCGGGGGAUGAGAAAUGUUGUGGCUUAACGAUAAAAUUGCCAAUGGUACUGGUACGCUGGAAUUGGGUUGAGGUUAGCGGAAUGUGACAUGUAGCGGUGAAAUGCAUAGAUAUGUCAUGGAACACCAAUUGCGAAGGCAGCUAACUGGGCCUUGAUUGACGCUGAGGCACGAAAGCGUGGGUAGCGAACAGGAUUAGAUACCCCAGUAGUC
rnacentral:rRNA from 1 species